rnacentral:ncRNA from 2 species
AGCAGAGCAGAAAGCUAAGCGAAAAGUGCCUUUUGACGGGGAGUUGUCGAAAGGACGAAAGCACCGGGUAGCGACUUUUUACUAUGGUGUGCGAUUUGGUUUUCUAUCCCGCUGCU